GACAAGGUAUGCGUAGAAAAGCAACCAUUUCACAAAAUGAAAUCGAGAGCCUUUACGAUCGUCGUCCUUCUGGUAUUCACUGCAAGCGCUUUGGGGCUAGAUGAGUACGGAAAUUUCGAAGGAUGUGACGUUUAUCAGGGCGGAAAACGUUUUAUCGUGCCAAGGGACAAGUACCGAUUUUAUGUCCCUGGAACGUGUUAUAUCUGCAGCUGUCUCAACAAGGGAUUGGGAUACCAGUCACGCUGUGCAAAACGGUACAGAUGCAUCGAGGGCGUUUCACCAUAGCCUGCAUUCAUUACAAGAUCUUUAUUAUGGAAAUUAAAUGGAAUAAUAGUAUACCUGUCUUCAUUAUUAAACUGUCUGUUUGG